rnacentral:rRNA from 1 species
GGGCCUGGCUGGGCGGUCUGCCUUUUGGUAUGUACUGCAUUGGCUGGGCCUUUCCUUCUGGAAACUGGCAUGCCCUUCGUUGGGUGCGUCGAGGAUCCAGGGCUUUUACUUUGAAAAAAUUAAAGCAGGCUGUUGCUUGAAUAGAUUAGCAUGGAAUAAUAAAAUAGGACGCGUGUUUCUAUUUUGUUGGUUUUCUAGGAUCACCGUA